rnacentral:rRNA from 1 species
GUUAAACAGCACGUGAAAUUGUUAAAAGGGAAGCGCUUGUGACCAGACUUGCGUCCGGUGAAUCACCCAGCUCUCGCGGCUGGGGCACUUCGCCGGCUCAGGCCAGCAUCAGCUCGCUGUCGGGGACAAAAGCUUCAGGAACGUAGCUCUCUUCGGGGAGUGUUAUAGCCUGCUGCAUAAUACCCUUCGGCGGGCUGAGGUACGCGCUCCGCAAGGAUGCUGGCAUAAUGGUCAUCAGCGACCCGUCUUGAAACACGGACGAAGGAGUCAACCUUAUGUGCGAGUGUUCGGGUGUCAAACCCCUACGCGUAAUGAAAGUGAACGC